rnacentral:rRNA from 1 species
AAUCUGCCUUGUGGUUCAGGACAACAUUGGGAAACCGAUGCUAAUACUGGAUAAGCCCUUACGGGGAAAGUUUUAAUGCCAUAAGAUGAGCCCGCAUUUGAUUAGUUAGUUGGUGAGGUAAUGGCUCACCAAGACAAUGAUCAAUAGCUGAUCUGAGAGGAUGAUCAGCCACACUGGGACUGAGACACGGCCCAGACUCCUACGGGAGGCAGCAGUGGGGAAUCUUGCACAAUGGAGGAAACUCUGAUGUAGCGAUGCCGCGUGAGUGAAGAAGGCCUUUGGGUUGUAAAGCUCUUUUGUAGGGGAAGAUAAUGACUGUACCCUAAGAAUAAGGUCCGGCUAACUUCGUGCCAGCAGCCGCGGUAAUACGAAGGGACCUAGCGUAGUUCGGAAUUACUGGGCGUAAAGCGCGCGUAGGCCGUUGAGUUAGUUAAUUGUGAAAUCCCAAAGCUUAACUUUGGAACUGCAAUUAAAACUGCUCGACUAGAGUUUGAUAGAGGAAAGCGGAAUACAUAGUGUAGAGGUGAAAUUCGUAGAUAUUAUGUAGAACACCAGUUGCGAAGGCGGCUUUCUGGAUCAACACUGACGCUGAGGCGCGAAAGUAUGGGUAGCAAAGAGGAUUAGAUACCCUCGUAGUCCAUACCAUAAACGAUGAUUGCUAGAUGUUGGAAAUUUAUUUUCAGUAUCGCAGCUAACGCAUUAAGCAAUCCGCCUGGGGAGUACGACCGCAAGGUUAAAACUCAAAUGAAUUGACGGGGACCCGCACAAACGGGUGAGCAUGUGGUUUAAUUCGAAGAUA